AAAGAAAAGACCUACAUAGGGUCAGCAGGAUGAUUCAAUGGAUAGAGGUGCUUGUGGGUCAAGCUUGAUGACAUGAGCUCCAUUCCUGGGACGAACAUGUUGGAAGGGACAAACUGACUCCCAGCAAACUGUCCUCUGACUUCCAUAGCUACACCUUAGCAUGUGGGGUGUGUGUGUGUGUGUGUGUAUGAUACACAACAAAAUACACAGAUUUCUCUUUUCCAGGAAGGACAAAGGUGGCCACUUAAAGGCGUUCGGUCUAUAUCCACCUGGAGAUGGCAAAGGAGGGUUGAAUUUAACAUGGGGUUUAUUUGGGGUGGGGGUGGAGUUAUGACACCAGUAUUUUGAGUGUUACCAAACAGGAUCUUAUGCAAUUCAGGCUGGCCUCCAACUGAAUUUGUAGCCAGAAGUGGCCUUGGAUUCCUGAUCCUCUUGCCUCUACAUCCAGAGUGUUGGGAUGGCAGGUUUGUCAAUGUGAUAACAUGCAUCAGAAUUCCAUCUCUUUUCUGGAGGUCUUCAUCAGUCACCUUUCACUGCUGAACCGUCCUCUGGCUCCCUGUUUCUGAGGAGUUGCCAGACUGUUAGUGCCAUGGACCACCCCAGCUGGGUAUGGGAGUCCCUAGGAUGGGGGUCCUCGAUGAAUAGGUGAGUAAGGAUUUGGCGGUGACAAACAGAAACAAACACAGAGGAAGUUUGAAUCUGAGUGUAUUUUGCAGUUCUCAAACAAGGUUGUUUUUACAGAGAUAUUUUCUCAGGGGAUGUUUUUGUUAAACAAACCCAAACAUAUGACAUUAUUGUUACUUGGCACAGUGACACCGAAAUCCAAAACAUAGAAUCAUUCAGGGUUAAUCAAAACAUAAAAUUUGUCCUUGAUUAGUCAAAACAUAAGACCGUCCUUGACUAACAUCGGAUCAUCCAAGGCCAACCACAUAUUUCUUAAAUCAAAUUAAUGUAUUUUUAUGGUCAGUUAUUGUUUAACAUCUAUUACCUAGUUCUUGUGAGUUUUUGAAGUAUUGAGCUAUUUUAACUAUUUUAACUCUUUCUUAUUAAAAGCUUUCGUUACCGGAUACUUAAGCCCACUUUCGAUGACAUAUGUACAGCCUAAUGAAAUUUUAUUGUUGGGAAAGUUUUUACUAUUUGUACUUAUGUGAAUGACAUGAAUGAUUUAGAAAGUGCUCGUUUUUCCUGAGAUGAGUUCAUGGCUAGUGACCCCAUCUCAGAGGAUGGUUUCUUAUCUAUUUCUUUUGUUUAAAAUGUCAGCAUAGAGCCGGUUGUUGGUGGCGCACGCCUUUAAUCCAAGCACUUGGGAGGCAGAGGCAGGUGGAUCUCUGUGAGUUAGAGACCAGCCUGGUCUACAAGAGCUAGUUCCAGG
rnacentral:lncRNA from 1 species